rnacentral:rRNA from 1 species
AGCAGCCGCGGUAAUUCCAGCUCCAAUAGCGUAUAUUAAAGUUGUUGCAGUUAAAAAGCUCGUAGUUGAAUUUCGGGGUCAGCAGGUUGGUCGUGCCACUGGUAUGCACUGGCUUCGCUGAUUCCUCCUUUCUGAAGAACUGUAAUGCCAUUAAUUUGGUGUUGCAGGGAAACAGGACUGUUACUUUGAAAAAAUUAGAGUGUUUAAAGCAGGCUAACGCUUGAAUACAUUAGCAUGGAAUAAUGAAAUAGGACGUUAAUCCUAUUUUGUUGGUUUCUAGGAUCGACGUAAUGAUUAAUAGGGAUAGUUGGGGGCAUUAGUAUUCAAUUGUCAGAGGUGAAAUUCUUGGAUUUAUUGAAGACUAACUACUGCGAAAGCAUUUGCCAAGGAUGUUUUCAUUAAUCAAGAACGAAAGUUAGGGGAUCGAAGACGAUCAGAUACCGUCGUAGUCUUAACCAUAAACUAUGCCGACUAGGGAUCGGAUGAUGUUAUUUUUAAUGACUCA